rnacentral:rRNA from 1 species
AUUGAACGCUGGCGGCAGGCCUAACACAUGCAAGUCGAACGAGUGGCGGACGGGUGAGUAAUGUCUGGGAAACUGCCUGAUGGAGGGGGAUAACUACUGGAAACGGUAGCUAAUACCGCAUACCAUCAGAUGUGCCCAGAUGGGAUUAGCUCGUUGGUGGGGUAACGGCUCACAAAGGCGACGAUCCCUAGCUGGUCUGAGAGGAUGACAAGCCAAACUGGAACUGAGACACGGUCCAGACUCCUACGGGAGGCAGCAGUGGGGAAUAGUGCACAAUGGGCGCAAGCCUGAUCCAGCCAUGCCGCGUGUGUGAAGAAGGUCUUCGGAUUGUAAAGCACUGUAAGUGGGGAGGCGUUACCAACAGAAUAAGCACCGGCUAACUUCGUGCCAGCAGCCGCGGUAAUUC